GUCAUGUGUGAAGAAAUUGUUUCUCUAGUCGAUGAUAAACGUACCUAAUUGCCUUAAAAUAGCAAGAACAUCAAGUACCCAAGACAAAAUAGAAACUUGGUUGCAAGGCGGUAGGGGCCGCCCCAUCGAUCACUCUUGGUGAAGAAAGACUAUUGACUAGUUAUAUACCAAAACACAGAAAAAAAAUCUAGACUACACAUUAAUUUUUUUUCUGCCUCAUUAUCUAAUUGCAUUGAAAUCUAUUAAUUGGGCAGUUUUUGCAGUCUUGGCUUCUUUUACCUUUGGGUAAUUUUGCAUACUAGGUAUUUUACAGUGUUCCACAUGCAUGCUUAAGCUUCUCACACGUGGUUAUGUAAUGCAUUCUAUUUUUAAAAUGUUGACUUACAUAUGAUCGAAACUCAUUAAAAUUUUCUGCAAAAUAAAUUAAUGGAAGUCCAUCAGCCUUUAUUUUAGAGUUGAAUAUGGUUGGAUCUCUUCUAGUUUUUUUCUCUGAUUUUAAGAGACUUCUUGUAGGAUACUUUUCGCGGAAGAGUGUGUGAAUGUCCUAUUGUGCAAGGUUUAAACUUUGUUGGUGAUGGUUAUACUCAUUGUGAAGCUUCAGGUGCUUUAAGGUGUGAAUUAAAUAAUGGAGGCAGUUGGAAGAAGACCUAGGAAGGAAGGACCUAUUCUGCUUGCAUUGAUAACCAUACAAAAGGCUGCAAGUGUCCACCAGGAUUCGAGGGUGAUGGAGUGCACACUUGUGAAGGUAAUGUAUUUCCACUUCUUGGUUUUACUGAUUAAUGUCGUGGAACAUUACAAAGAUGACUGGGAUUUACAAGGCUUGUUGGGCCCAUUAUUUUGCUAUGGCUAUAUCAAAUUAGGCGAUGAC